CCAGCAUUGGUGUUUUUGUAAAGCUCUCAGGAGAUUCUAAUGAAAGGUAGUUUCAGAAACAGUGCAGUGGGCAGCUCAAGUAUCUGUUUAGGGCAGUGAUUCUCAAACUUCAGGGCUUCAGAAUCACCUGAAAGGGCUUAUUAUAAUACAGAUUGCUAGGUUCUAGCAAUCAGAGGUUCUGAUUCAGUAAAUUAGGGGUGGGACCAGAGAAUUAGCAUUUCUGACAAGUUCUCGGAGGAUGGUGCUGCUGCUGGUUUAGGAUUACACUUUGGGAGCCACUGUCCUAGGACACCCGGAUAAAUGGACACCAAGAAAAAAAUGAGAGGGGUUGGGGGGAACCCAGAAAGAUUCAUAUUUCAAACAAAGCUUCUAAGUAACUCUCAUGGUACAAAUCAGAAACUUUGAGCUUCCUUACCUUUGCCAACAAAGGUCUAUCUAGUCAAGGCUUAUGAUUUUUCCAGUAGUCAUGUAUGGAUGUGAGAGUUGGACUAUAAAGGAAGCUGAGCACCAGAGAAUUGAUGCUUUUGAACUGUGGUGUUGGAGAAGACUCUUGAGAGUCCCUUGGACUGCAAGGAGAUCCAACCAGUCCAUCCCAAAGGAAAUCAGUCCUGAAUAUUUAUUGGAAGGACUGAUGUUGAAGCUGAAACUCCAAUACUUUGGCCACCUCAUGCGAAGAGCUGACUCACUUGAAAAGACCCUGAUACUGGGAAAGAUUGAAGGCAGGAAGAGAAGGGGAUGACAGAGGAUGAGACAGUUGGAUGUCAUCACUGACUCAAUGGACAUGAGUUUGGGUAGGCUCCGGGAGCUGGUGAUGGACAGGGAGGCCUGGCAUGCUGCAGUCCUUGGGGUCGCAGAGUCGGACACGACUGAGCGACUGAACUGAACCUUUAUUUUAUGGCUAGUUUGAUUCUUGUUUUAGACUUGUGUUUAGGGAGAUAGGACUCCCAUAAUUCUUUUACUGCUAAAGGUGAUUUUUAAAAGUCUUAAGCCCUAUAGUUAAGUAUCCCACAAGCCAAUGCAUCUCUUCACGUAAACUGCAGCUUUCACCUUUCUGUUAGAAUGUUCCCUUCACUAGAUUUUCCCUGACCAUAACGGGUCAUAGUAGCCCACCACAGAAUAUUUAUGGAGAGUAGCAAAGCAAAAUAUUAAUACACAUAUAUUGCUCACAUCUCCCAAUAAAAAGCUCUAAGGCAGAAAUAGUGUUUAUCUUGUCUUCCAGGUGAUGGGUGAAUGUAUCUUGCGUGUUGAGCACUGUGACAGAGAACUUGACCCAUGGAGGGCAUACAAAUAAGAUUGCAAGAAGACCUGUCAGAGUUAUGGAAAUGAAAGGGGUGCCUCAGCUGGAUGACCCAAAGUGACCUCAUGUACUUCCGGGCGUUGGUGCUGUCAGCUGGGUGAGGCACCUUUGUUCCCCUCCAAGUGUUCCCUCACUCUCUUUCCAUGUGGUCACACAUCAUUCAGUUGUCUAGCAUUUUUAGUUGGUGGCUGUCUUCCAAGGAGUAAAAGGGAUUACGUACCAUCAGUUUCACUGUAUUCUGCUUGUCAAAGCAAGUCCAAGGGCCAACAUGGAGUCAAAGGAUCGGAAAAUAGAUUUCACUCUUUUUGUAAAGAUAAUUUUCUUUAUUUUUGGCUGUGCUAGGUGUUUCUCUAGUUAUGGGAAGCAGGGGCUGCUCUCUGAUUGCAGUGCUUGGGCUUCUCAUUGCGGUGACUUCUCUUGUUGCAGAGCACAGGCUCUAGGACAUUUGGGCUUCAGUAGCUUGUAGGCUCUAGAGCACAGCCUGAGGCUUGUGACCCUCAGGCUUACUUGCCCUGCGGCAUGUGGGAUCCUCCCAGACCAAGGAUUGAGCUCAUGUCUCCUGCAUUGGCACGUGGAUUCCUUACCACUGAACCACCAGAUGUGCUGCUAUCUUGGAUUGGAAAUUGCAUUCCCUUCAUUUCUAUGUUCUCAUCUGGAAAACGCCUACUCAUCUUUCAAAACCUAGCUCAAAAGUCACCACCUUAAGAAGCCUCCCUUGGGCAAGCCAGUUGCUUCCUUCUGACAUUCCCUUAGCGGCUCUUUUACAUUUUUUUUUUUUUAAACACUGAACACGUUGGUUAUAAUUCUGUUUGCAUACAGAAUUCUGUUUUCUUCACUCAUCUAAAUUCCUGAGGCAUCUUUGUUUCCAUAGCAAUCAUCAGUAACGACACAUAGUAGGUAUUCAGUAAACUUAAAUGAAUAAAAGAGGAGGAAAGCCAAAGAAAACUUUUUAAAAAUCACACAUGUGGAUCAAACUUCCAACUACUAAUUUACAGAAAAUAGAGAGGAAAAUUUCUUUUCCUGCCACCCCAGGAAAUAUCAGCAGAAUCCUGAGAGAGGAAACUCAUUAGGACAAACAUCCUAGUUUCUUGGAAAAUAAAUUGCAAGGGGGAAAAAGAGAAUUGGAGGAGGACUGGUAAUUUGAGAGAGACUUAGAAGACCCGUCAAACAAUUGCAAAGCAUGGACUUGACUUGGAUUUUGAUUUUUAAAAAAUUUUAGAUUAUGACAUGUAUGAGACCUUGGAAAUUUGAACAUAGAACGUUUGAUGACUUUAAGGCCUUAUUGUUAAUCAUUUUAGAUGUGAUAAUUGUGUUAUGUUUACUUUGAAAAGAAAGCAAUCAUUAUUUUUAAGAGAUGAGUCCUGAAAUGUUUAUAAGUGAAAGUAUAUGUCUGGAAUUUGCUUCAAAAUAAUAUGGGAGGGAGGAAGUGGAUGAUAGUGUAAAUGAAGUAGGUUUGGCCAUGGGGUUGACGGUUGUUGGGGCUGAGUGAUAGGUGGGCACAGAAAGAAUCAUCCUCUAGAUAUUUUUAUGUAUAUCUGAAAUUGCUACUGCAAUGUUUAAAAGCAACAAAAAGUCUUUUAAAAGCUUGAAUGUUUUGCAUUUACACUUCGCAGUACAAUAAUUAUUUUAAAAAAUAAAUUUGUUUGGCUGCAAAGGGGUCAUAGUUGCAGCAUACAGGAUCUUCAAUCUUUGUUGUGGCAUGCAGGUUCUUUUAGUUGCAGCAUAUGGAAUCUAGUUCCCUGAGUAGGGAUUGAACGUGGGCCCCCUGCAUUGGGAGUGUGGAGUCUUAGCCAUGGGACCACCAGGGAAGUCUGUACAAUAGCUAUUUUAAACAAUAGAAUUGAAACGAUUACUCCUCACCUCAAUGUGAAAAAAAUUUUGUUUAAUGUAUGCAUGUAUGUUUUGUUACAUGUUUAUGCUAGAAUAUUUUCCAAAGGAACAUCUUUAUUAAAAAAAAUAGGUAAAGCCAAUUAG
ensembl:lncRNA